rnacentral:rRNA from 1 species
AUGCCACGCCGUUUCCAACGUGGCGGAGCACAGCCACCCGGCCGGGGCGCUCGGACUCCGCCCGCUCUUCGGCGUACCCGCCGUCUCAACCUGCGCGGUCGGCGGCUCCGGCACGACGGAACCGCCGCGGAGUCGUCGUCCGUGCGCUCGACCACGCAAGAGGGCUUCAGCCAUGUGGACCACGCGGGAGCAGGAUACGCGCUCGGACCCGUCCUCUGCGGGCUCCCGUUCGUGGAGCGCGCCGACGUAGCGGCCAGCAACAGCGGACACCCUCGUUUCUCCCAGGAGUGCCACAACAUCGCCGACGUGACAGGGCACGACCUGGACGCUCGGGUUCGGGCUAUCCCCGCUCCUCGGCGGCUCCACCUCCGUCGCCACGGGAGGGCAACUCGACCUGGGUGA